rnacentral:tRNA from 1 species
GGGGUCGUAGCGCAGAGGCAGGCGCGUCGGUCUCCAAAACUGAAGCACGCUGGUUCGAAUCCAGCCGCCCCGCCC